UAGGGAAUAUUGGACAAUGGGCGCAAGCCUGAUCCAGCAACGCCGCGUGAAUGAUGAAGGCCUUAGGGUUGUAAAAUUCUUUCGCCAGGGAAGAUAAUGACUGUACCUGGUAAAGAAGCCCCGGCUAACUCCGUGCCAGCAGCCGCGGUAAUACGGAGGGGGCUAGCGUUGUUCGGAAUUACUGGGCGUAAAGCGUGCGUAGGCGGACUGGAAAGUCAGAUGUGAAAUCCCGGGGCUCAACCCCGGAACUGCAUUUGAAACUGUUAGUCUAGAGUUCUGGAGAGGUAAGUGGAAUUCCUAGUGUAGAGGUGAAAUUCGUAGAUAUUAGGAGGAACACCAGAGGCGAAGGCGGCUUACUGGACAGAUACUGACGCUGAGGCACGAAAGUGUGGGGAGCAAACAGGAUUAGAUACCCGCGUAGUCC
rnacentral:rRNA from 1 species